GCCUGAUGCAGCCAUGCCGCGUGUAUGAAGAAGGCCUUCGGGUUGUAAAGCACUUUCAGCGGGGAGGAAGGCGAUACGGUUAAUAACCGUGUUGAUUGACGUUACCCGCAGAAGAAGCACCGGCUAACUCCGUGCCAGCAGCCGCGGUAAUCA
rnacentral:rRNA from 1 species